GUGGGGAAUUUUGGACAAUGGGCGCAAGCCUGAUCCAGCAAUGCCGCGUGCAGGAAGAAGGCCUUCGGGUUGUAAACUGCUUUUGUACGGAACGAAAAGGCUCUGGUUAAUACCUGGGGCUCAUGACGGUACCGUAAGAAUAAGCACCGGCUAACUACGUGCCAGCAGCCGCGGUAAUACGUAGGGUGCAAGCGUUAAUCGGAAUUACUGGGCGUAAAGCGUGCGCAGGCGGUUUUGUAAGACAGGUGUGAAAUCCCCGGGCUUAACCUGGGAACUGCGCUUGUGACUGCACGGCUAGAGUAUGGCAGAGGGGGGUGGAAUUCCACGUGUAGCAGUGAAAUGCGUAGAGAUGUGGAGGAACACCGAUGGCGAAGGCAGCCCCCUGGGCCAAUACUGACGCUCAUGCACGAAAGCGUGGGGAGCAAACAGGAUUAGAAACCCGGGUAGUCC
rnacentral:rRNA from 1 species